GGCCACACCUGUGGCAUAUAAAAGUUCCCAGGCCAGGGAUCGAAUUGCAGCUACAGCUGCCAGCCUAUACCACAGCCACAGCAAUGCCAGAUCUGAGCCGCAUCUUCGACCUAUACCAUAGGUCACAGGAAUGCCAGAUCCUUAACCCACUGAGCAGAGCCAGGGAUCAAACUCACAUCCUCAUGGAUACUAGUCAGAAUCAUUUCCACUGAGCCACAGUGGGAACCCCUGUUAAUUUUUAUUUUGUAUUGGAGUAUAGUUGAUUUACAGUAUUGUGUUACUUUCAGGUGUACAGCAAAGUGAUUCAGUUAUACAUAUAUAUGUGUCCAUUAUUUUUCAGAUUCUUUUCUCAUACAGGUUAUUAGAGAAUACUGAGUAGUGUUCCCUAUGCUAUGCAGUAGGUACUUGUUGGUUUUUAAUUUUAUAUAUAGUAAUGUGUAUAUGUUAAUCUCAACCUCCUAAUUUAUCCCUCCUUUAACCUUUCCCCUCUGGUAACCAUAAGCUUGUUUUCAAAGUCUAUGAUUCUAUUUCUGUUUUUUAGAAAAAUUCAUUUGCAUCAUUUUUAGACUUCACAUUAACUGAUAUCACAUGAUAUAUUUGCUUUCUCUGCCUGACUUACUUCACUAAGUAUGAUAAUCUCUAGGGUCAUCCAUGUUGCUGUAAAUGGCAUUAUUUCAUUCUUUUUUGUGGCUAAUAUUCCAUUGUUUAUAUAUACCCCAUCUUUCCCCAUUCCUCUGUCAAUAGACAUUUAGAUUGCUUCCAUAUCUUGGCUAUUGUAAAUAAUGCUGUGGUGGACACUGGGGUGCAUAUAUUUUUGAAUUAUGAUUUUUUUUUCUGGAUAUAUGCCCAGAAGUGGGAUUGCUACAUUAUAUGGUAGUUUCAUUUUUAGUUUUUAAAGGAAACUCCAUACCAUUUUCCAUAGUGGUUGUACCAAGUCACAUUCCCACCAACAGGGUAGGAUGGUUCCCUUUUUUCCAUACCCUCUCAGCAUUUACUGUUUGUAGACUUUUUUGAUGGUGGCCAUUCUGACUGACCAGUGUGAGAUGAUUGAUACCUCAUUGUAGUUUUGAUUUGCAUUUCUGUAAUAAUUAUGUUGAUUAUCUUUUCAUGUGCUUUUUGGCAAUGUGCAUAUAUUCUUUGGAAGAUUUAGAUCUGCCCAUUUUUUAAUUGGGUUGUUAAACUGUAGCUUUGUAGUGAAGUCUGAAGUCAGGGAGCCUGUUUCCUCCAACUCCAUUUUUCUUCCUCAGGAUUGUGUUGGCUAUUCUGGGUCUUUCAUGUUUCCAUACAGAUUUUAAAAGUUUUUAUUCUAGUUCUGUGAAAAAUGCCAUUGGUAAUUUGAUAGGGAUUGCAUUGAAUCCGUAGAUCGCCUAGGGUAGUAGAGUCGUUUUUUAUAAUAUUGAUUCUUCCAAUCCAAGAACAUAUCUUUUCUGUUUGUGUCAUCUUCAAUUUCUUUCAACACGUCUUUUGGAGGACAGGUCUUUUGCCUCCCUAGGCAGGAUUAUUUGUAGGUAUUUUGUUCUUUUUAAUGUGAUGGUAAAUGGGACUGUUUCUUCAAUUUCUCUCUCUGAUCUCUUAUUGUUAGUGUGUAGAAAUGCAGUUGAUUUCUGUGUAUUAAUUUUUAUCCUGCAACUUUACCAAAUUUACUGAUGAGCUCAGGUAAUUUUCUGGUAGUGUCUUUAGGGGUUUUCUAUGAAUAGUAUCAUGUCAUCUGAAACAGUGACAGUUUCACUUCUUCUUUUCCAAAUUGGAUUACUUUUCUUCUUCUCUGAANUUUCCAAAUUGGAUUACUUUUCUUCUUCUUCUCUGAUUGUCAUGGCUAGUAUUUCCAAAAUAUGUUGAAAAAAACAGGCAAGAUUAGACAUCUUUGACUUUUCCUGAUCUUUAGGAAAUUCAUUUAGCUUUUCUCCACUGAGUACGAUGUCAGCUGUGAGUUUUGUCAUAUAUGGCCUUGAUUAUGUUGAGUUCCCUCAAUGCCCACUUUCUGGAGAGUUUUUAUCAUAAAUAGGUAUUGAAUUUUGUCAAAAGCUUUUUCUGCACCUAUUGAUAUGAUCAUAUAAUUUUUAUUCUUCAACUUGUUAAUGUGGUGUAUCAGACUGAUUACCUUGCAAAUAUUGAAAAAUCCUUGCAUCCGUGGGAUAUAUCCCACUUGAUUGCAUUGUAUGAUCCUUUUAAUGUAUUGUUCUAUUAUUGGAUUCAGUUUCCUACCUGUUGUUUUGUUUUGUUUUCUGAGGAUUUUUGCAUCUAUAUUUGUCAGUGAUAUUGGCCUGUAAUUUUCUUUUUUUGUGGUAUCUUUAUCUGGUUUUGGUAUCAGGGUGAAGGUGGCCUCACCGAAUCAGUUUGGGAUCCUCCUCUGUAAUUUUUUGGUAGAGUUUCAAAAGCAUAGCUGUUAAAUCUUCCCUAAAUUUUUGUUGUUGUUGUUGUUGUUGUUCUUUUUAGGGCCACACCUGUGGCGUAUGGAAGUUCCCCGGCUAGGGGUCGAAAUGGAGCUGUUGCUGCCUGCCUAUGCCACAGCCACAGCAAUGCCAGAUCUGAGCUGUGUCUGUGACCUACACCACAGCUCAUGGCAACGCCUGAUCCUUAACCCACUGAGCGAGGCCAGGGAUCGAACCGGCAACCUCAUGGUUCCUAGUCGGAUUUGUUUCUGCUGCACCACGACAGAAACUCCUUUUUUUAUUUUUUCAUUCAUUUUUUUUUCUAAAUGUUUGAUAGAAUUUGCCUGUGAAGCCAUCGGAUAGUUGACUUUGGUUUUUUCAAAGUUUUUAAAUCACAGUUUCCAUUUUAGUACUCGUGAUUGGUCAAUUUAUAUUUUCUAUUUCUUCCUAGUACAGCAUUGGAAGAUUACACCUUUCUAAAAAUUUGUCCAUUCUUCUAGGAUGUCCACUGUAUUGGCAUAUAGUGCUUAUUGUAGCCUCAUGAUAUUUGUUUUUCUGUGGUAUCAGUUGUAACUUAUCCUUUUUCAUUUCUAAUUUUAUUGAUUUGAGCCCUCUCCUUUUCCUUGAUGAGUCUGGCUAAAGAUUUAUCAAUUUUUUUGAUCUUUUCAAAGGACCAGGUUUAAAUUUCAUUGAUAUUUUCUAUUGAUUUAUUCACUUCUAUUUUAUUGAUUUCUUCAUUUCUAUUUAUUUACUUAUUUACAGAAAAAUUAUUAUUUCUAUUUUUUUUAUGAUUUCUUUCAUUCUUCUAACUUUGGGUUUUGUUUCCUCCUUCUCUAUUUGCUUUAGGUGUAAGGUGAGGUUGUUUGAGAUUUUUCUUGCUUCUUGAGCUGAGAUUGUAUUGUUAUAAACUUGCCUCUUAGAAAUGCUUUUGCCAUAUCCCACAGGUUUUGGAUCAUCAUGUUUUCAUUUUCAUUUAUCUCUAGGCUUUUGUUUUUGUUUUGCCUUUUUGCCAUUUCUUGGGCCACUCCCACAGCAUAUGGAAGUUCCCAGGCUAGGGGUCAAAUUGGAGCUGUAGCCGCCGGCCUACGUCAGAGCCACAGCAACACCAGAUCCAAGCCUCAUCUGCCACCUACACCACAGCUCACGGCAACGCCGGAUCCUUAACCCACUGAGCAAGGCCAUCAAACCUCCAACCUCAUGGUUCCUAGUCGGAUUCAUUAACCACUGAGCCACGACGGGAACUCCUCUCUAGGUAUUUUUUAAUUUACUCUUUGAUUUCUUCAGUGUUCCAUUGGUUUCUUAAGAACAUUCUGUUCAGCCUCCACAUGUUUGUGUUUUUUUAUUUUUUCCUUUAGUUGAUUUCUGAUUCUCAUAGCUUUGUGGUCAGAAAAGCUGCUAAAUGUGAUUUCAAUUUUCCUAAAUUUACUGAGGCAUGAGUUGUGGCCUAGCAUGUUAUCUAUUCUAAAGAAUGUUCCAUGUGCACUUGGGAAGAAUAUAUAUUCUGCUGCUUUGGGAUAGAAUGUUCUAUAAAUACGAAUUAAAUCUACCUGGUCUAAUGUGUCAUUGAAGGCCUUUGUUUCCUUUUUGAUUUUCUGUCUCGAUGAUCUGUCUGGAUGAUCUGUCCAUUGAUGUAAGGGGGGUGUUAAAGUCCCCUGCUAUUAUUGUGUUAUUGUCAAAGAUUGUCUUUAAGACCAUUAGCAGUUUCCCUAUAUAUUGAAAUGUUCCUAUAUUGGGUGCAUACAUGUUUAAAGUUGUUAUAUCUUCUUCUUAGAUUGAUCCCUUAGUCAUUUUGCUGUAUUUUUCUUUGUCUCUGGUAAUGGCUUUUAUUUUUAAGUCUAUUUUCUCUGAUAUGAGUAGUUCUACUCCAGCUUUCUUCUUAUUUCCAUUUUCAUGGAAUACUUUUUUCCACCCUCUCACUUUCAGUCUGUAUGUUCCCUAGAUAUAAAAUGGGUCACUUGUAGAAAACUAUAUACAGGUCCAGUUUUUGUACUCUUUCAGCCAGUCUAUGUCUAUUUACAUUUAAGGUAAUUAUAGAUAUAUAUGUUCUUAUUGUCAUUUUAAUGGUUGUGGACUUCUUUGUUAGCCUUGUUUUUCUUCCCCUCUUCUUUUGUUCUCUGCUCUUGUGAAUGAUGACUAUCUUUAGUAUUGUAUUUGGAUUGCAUUUUCUUUUGUGUGUGUGUGUCUAUUGUAGAUUUUGGUUUCCAGUUACCAUAAGGCUUUGAUAUAAAGUUCCUUUAUCAUUUGCUGCAAAGCUGGUUUGGUGAUGGCUGAAUUCUCUUAGCUUUUGCUUAUAUGGAAAGCUUUUGAUCUCUCCAUCAACUCUGAACUGAGACUUGCUGGGUAGUGUAGUCUUGGUUAUAGCUUUUUCCCUUUCAUCACUUUAAAUACAUUAUGCCAUUCCCUUCUGGGUUGCAGAGUUUCUGCUGAAAAAUCAGCUGAUAACCUUAUGGGGAUCCCCUUGGUUUUGUUGUUGUUGUUGGUGUUGUUGUUGUUGUUGUU
rnacentral:lncRNA from 1 species